GUAAUAUAUCGGAACGUACCUAGAAGUGGGGGAUAACGCAGCGAAAGUUGCGCUAAUACCGCAUAUUCUCUAAGGAGGAAAGUGGGGGCUCGCAAGACCUCAUGCUUUUAGAGCGGCCGAUAUCUGAUUAGCUAGUUGGUGAGGUAAAGGCUCACCAAGGCAUCGAUCAGUAGCUGGUCUGAGAGGACGACCAGCCACACUGGAACUGAGACACGGUCCAGACUCCUACGGGAGGCAGCAGUGGGGAAUUUUGGACAAUGGGCGCAAGCCUGAUCCAGCAAUGCCGCGUGAGUGAAGAAGGCCUUCGGGUUGUAAAGCUCUUUUGUCAGGGAAGAAACGGUGCUCUCUAAUAUAGAGUACUAAUGACGGUACCUGAAGAAUAAGCACCGGCUAACUACGUGCCAGCAGCCGCGGUAAUACGUAGGGUGCAAGCGUUAAUCGGAAUUACUGGGCGUAAAGCGUGCGCAGGCGGUGUUGUAAGUCAGAUGUGAAAUCCCCGGGCUCAACCUGGGAAUGGCAUUUGAGACUGGCACGCUUGAGUGUGUCAAGGGG
rnacentral:rRNA from 1 species